rnacentral:RNase_P_RNA from 1 species
CAAGUAUGGUGAGUGACUGCGUGAAAACGAGGAAAGUCCGAGCUACACUAAGACGGGGCUUCAUCUAACGGAUGACUAGGGCGACCUAAGGGAAAGUGCAACAGAAAGCAAACUACCGCUAAGCGGAAAAGGUGAAAGGGUAGGGUAAGAGCCUACCAGCAUUUAUGGCAACAUAAGUGGCUUGUAAACCCAGCCUGUAGCAAGAAGGGACGGUUUUGUCUUAGAUUAAAACCCUUCGCUUGAGCUAAUUUGUGAAAUUUAGCCUAGAUAAAUAGUCACUUUUAACAGAACUCGGCUUAUAGCUAUACUUGGGGU